UUAUUCAACAAUUUUGAUGUUUAAUUUAAUUAAAUCUACAAUUUACCAUAGAGAUCAUGAACAGUGAAAUUAGGUUAUAGUGGCAAGUGGCAAUAGGUAUGUACCUAAAUUCAAAUUUACUAGUAUUUUAAUAACUCAUGGCCAAACUGGCUGUAACAACACCCAAUUACCAUAAGAGUCUCUAACAAGAAUCUCUCUAGUCUAUAAUAAAUUUCUAUU